rnacentral:tRNA from 1 species
GGGGAUGUAGCUCAGCUGUAGAGUGUGUGCUUAGUAUGUGCAAGGCCCUAGGUUCAAUCCCCAGUAUCAUUU